rnacentral:rRNA from 1 species
AAACUAACAAGGAUUCCCCUAGUAACGGCGAGUGAACCGGGAAGAGCUCAAAUUUGAAAUCUGGCGUCCUCAGGGCGUCCGAGUUGUAAUCUAUAGAGGCGUUUUCCGUGCCGGACCGUGUCCAAGUUCCUUGGAACAGGAUAUCAAAGAGGGUGACAAUCCCGUACUUGACACGACGACCGGUGCUCUGUGAUACGUCUUCUACGAGUCGAGUUGUUUGGGAAUGCAGCUCAAAAUGGGUGGUGAGUUCCAUCUAAAGCUAAAUAUUGGCGAGAGACCGAUAGCGAACAAGUACCGUGAGGGAAAGAUGAAAAGCACUUUGGAAAGAGAGUUAAACAGUACGUGAAAUUGUUGAAAGGGAAACGAUUGAAGUCAGUCGUGACCGAGAGGCUCAGCCGGUUCUGCCGGUGUAUUCCCCUCGGUCGGGUCAACAUCAGUUUUGUCCGGUGGAUAAGGGCGGUAGGAAGGUGGCACCCUCGGGUGUGUUAUAGCCUGCCGUCGCAUACAUCGGGUGAGACUGAGGAACGCAGCUCGCCUUUAUGGCCGGGGUUCGCCCACGUCCGAGCUUAGGAUGUUGAC